rnacentral:tRNA from 1 species
GCGAGCAUCGCCAAGCGGUUAAGGCGGCGGUUUGCAAAACCGUUAUCGCCGGUUCGAUUCCGGCUGCUCGCUCCA